AUGGACUGGAGCUGGAGAAUCCUCCUCACGGUGGCAGUGGCUACAAGUGUCCACUCCCAGGUGCAGCUGGUGCAGUCGGGGGCUGAGGUGAGGAAGCCUGGGGCGUGAAUGAAGGUCUCCUGCAAGGCAUCUGGAUACACCUUCACUGAGUACUAUACGAGCUGGGUGCGACAGGCCCCUGGACAAGGGCUUGACUGGAUGGGACAAAUCAACCCUGAAGAUAGUGCUACAAAUUAUGCUCAGAAGUUCCAGGGCAGAGUCACCAUGGCUGUGGACAUGUCCACGAGCACAGCCUACAUGGAGCUGGGCAGUCUGAGGUCUGAGGACAUGGCCGUGUAUUACUGUGCGAGAAACACAGUGUGA